rnacentral:rRNA from 1 species
GACGAACGCUGGCGGCGUGCCUAAUGCAUGCAAGUCGAGCGAAGUUUUUUUGGUGCUUGCACUAGAAAAACUUAGCGGCGAACGGGUGAGUAACACGUAAAGAACCUGCCUCAUAGACUGGGACAACUAUUGGAAACGAUAGCUAAUACCGGAUAACAGUAUUUCUCGCAUGGGAGAUAUUUAAAAGUUGGUUAUCCUAACACUAUGAGAUGGCUUUGCGGUCAUUAGCUAGUUGGUGGGGUAAAGGCCCACCAAGGCGACGAUGCAUAGCCGACCUGAGAGGGUGAUCGGCCACACUGGGACUGAGACACGGCCCAGACUCCUACGGGAGGCAGCAGUAGGGAAUCUUCCGCAAUGGGCGAAAGCCUGACGGAGAAACGCCGCGUGAGUGAAGAAGGAUUUCGGUUCGUAAAGCUUUUUUCUUAGGGAAG